AAGAAAGAAAGAAAGAAAAUCCAUUUAUUUCGAACACACGAAUGACGCAAGAAACAAAUAAAUAAAUAUGGCACAAAACAAACAAUACAGUGAACGCGUCACUCGUGCGUGAAAGGGACAGCGCUCAGCAUAAAUGCUGUGUCUCGCGCACGCAGGCACGAGACAACAGCGCUGGUUUUCAGCGCUGACCCACCUCGCGUCCUAGCCGGAACUACAAAACUUUAACGCUGUUUCGGCAUAAAUACAGUAAAUAAAUAAAUACAUAUAUAUAUAAGUAAUGUAAAUUUAAACAGUUACAAGAACGAUGUAAACUAAACAGAAGAACACAAACUAAAAACAAAAUAUAACACAAUAUGAGAAUAUCAGACAUAGGACAUAGACAAAAAAAGAGCGAAAAAUUAAAAUAGUCGACCAAUGAGCGUCUCGAACCAUAGACAGCGCGGUAAGUGUCAUGUGUCAAAGAUCAGGUUAACCCGGCCAAUUACAUGUGAGAUAUGUUAUUAUGCAAUAUUAUGUGUAUCAAGUGAUGUAAAUAGUGUAAUAUGUGUUAUUGUGUUGUAUAAUUGUGAGUGGAUAUGAAUAUACUAUUAGUGUGGUGUGGGACGACCAAAUUAUAGGAAUCCGGUAGCAUAGAGGAUGACCAUGCGGAGCAGUGUGUGUAAUGCGUUUCAAGGACAAUCCGAGGUCCAGAAAUGACAAUGCUUCGUAUGUAUAUGAAGUGAAGCAGACAGGAGGCAGCAAAACCGCACCACUACAUUGCCGGGGAUCCCAGCAAGGGCUUUGGGCCAUAGCUCUGAGGCCCCUUAAAGGUGGUGGGAGGUCGUUCCAGCAGUGUGUGGCUGCAAAUUUGAAGCUGCCCCUGAAGGCUGCAGUUUUGUGAGAAGGAACCUUCAGCGGAGCAACUAUGGAGCGAAGACCAUGUCCGUAACAUGUUUCCUUCCAUAGCCGAAGACUCGGGAUAAGUCCCCCUCCGUGCGGAUCCUCUGCGCCUUGUCCCCCGGCGCCUUCCUGACGAGGAUGCGGCCCUGCUUGGUCCAGACAAACUUCCAGCCAAGAGCGCUGGCCGCUUCCCGUGCUUGACGAAAUAACAAGCGGUUAACUUUAGUCAACCGCUCGUUUAAGAAGAACCUCUGCGCCGGCCCGGGCAUGCCGAGAUCCGCCGUAGUUGCGCCUCGUCGCACUCGCGCGCUCGCCAUAAGCUGGUCACGCAGGUCUCGGCGAGCAAGGCGCACGACUAUCGGCCGCGGGCGUGAUAUGGUUGGUCCCGCUGAGUUCGUCGCGUUGAGCUGCCUGCCACCUACACGCUCUGCACUGACGAUAUCUCGAUCUUCCAGGCUGAUCCCUAACUUGUGACCUAAGGCUUUGAUUAAAUGGGUAGGGUUUUCCGCUUGUUCCUCCGGCAAGUUGGACACCUCUAUAUCAUUAGCAAGUA